rnacentral:rRNA from 1 species
UGGGGAAUUUUGGACAAUGGGCGAAAGCCUGAUCCAGCAAUGCCGCGUGUGUGAAGAAGGCCUUCGGGUUGUAAAGCACUUUUGUCCGGAAAGAAAUCCUUGGCUCUAAUACAGUCGGGGGAUGACGGUACCGGAAGAAUAAGCACCGGCUAACUACGUGCCAGCAGCCGCGGUAAUACGUAGGGUGCAAGCGUUAAUCGGAAUUACUGGGCGUAAAGCGUGCGCAGGCGGUUUGCUAAGACCGAUGUGAAAUCCCCGGGCUCAACCUGGGAACUGCAUUGGUGACUGGCAGGCUAGAGUAUGGCAGAGGGGGGUAGAAUUCCACGUGUAGCAGUGAAAUGCGUAGAGAUGUGGAGGAAUACCGAUGGCGAAGGCAGCCCCCUGGGCCAAUACUGACGCUCAUGCACGAAAGCGUGGGGAGCAAAGCAGGAUUAGAUACCCUGGUAGUCCACGCCCUAAACGAUGUCAACUAGUUGUUGGGGAUUCAUUUCCUUAGUAACGUAGCUAACGCGUGAAGUUGACCGCCUGGGGAGUACGGUCGCAAGAUUAAAACUCAAAGGAAUUGACGGGGUCAUAGCUGUUUCC